GCACUCCUGGGGCGUCUCUAUCUCAUUGCGAGAGGAGGCGCACCUAGAGCGUACACGCUGAUACCCGAAAGAUGGUGAACUAUGCCUGGCGAGGACGAAGCCAGGGGAAACCCUGGUGGAGGUCCGCAGCGAUUCUGACGUGCAAAUCGAUCGUCGGAGCUGGGUUUAGGGGCGAAAGACCAAUCGAACCAUCUAGUAGCUGGUUCCCUCUGAAGUUUCCCUCAGGAUAGCUUGCGCUCAAUUGAUACGAGUCUCAUCCGGUAGAGCGAAUGAUUAGAGGCCUUGGGGUCGAAACGACCUCAACCUAUUCUCAAACUCCAAAUAGAUGAGAACCCCGGCUUUCUUGAACUUUUGUUUAUGAAGCCGGGGGCUUGGAUCAGAGUGCCAAGUGGGCCAAUUUUGGUAAGCAGAACUGGCGCUGUGGGAUGAACCAAACGCGGAGUUAAGGCGCCUCAAUCGACGCUCAUGUGAAACCAUGAAAGGCGUUGGUUGCUUAAGACAGCAG
rnacentral:rRNA from 1 species